rnacentral:rRNA from 1 species
AUUGAACGCUGGCGGCAUGCUUUACACAUGCAAGUCGAACGGUAACAGGCCUUCGGGCGCUGACGAGUGGAGAACGGGUGAGUAAUGCAUCGGAUCGUGCCCAGUCGGGGGGGGUAACUAUACGAAAGGCUAGCUAGUCCCGCAGCCGAUCCGCGGCUGAAAGCGGGGGACCGUCGGGCCUCGCGCGGUUGGAGCGGCCGAUGUCAGAUUAGGUAGUUGGGGGGGUAGAGGCUCACCAAGCCAACGAUCUGUAGCUGGUCGGAGAGGACGACCAGCCACACUGGGACUGAGACACGGCCCAGACUCCUCCGGGAGGCAGCAGUGGGGAAUUUUGGACAAUGGGCGCAAGCCUGAUCCAGCAAUGCCGCGUGCAAGAAGAAGGCCUUCGGGUUGUAAACUGCUUUUGUACGGAACGAAACGGCUCUGGUUAAUACCCGGGGCUAAUGACGGUACCGUAAGAAUAAGCACCGGCUAACUACGUGCCAGCAGCCGCGGUAAGAC